rnacentral:rRNA from 1 species
UACAGAGGGGGCAAGCGUUGUUCGGAAUUACUGGGCGUAAAGGGCGCGUAGGCGGCCUGCUAAGUCGAACGUGAAAUCCCUGGGCUCAACCCAGGAACUGCGUCCGAUACUGGCAGGCUGGAAUCGGAGAGGGAUGUGGAAUUCCAGGUGUAGCGGUGAAAUGACGUAGAUAUCUGGAGGAACACCGGUGGCGAAGGCGGCAUCCUGGGACCCGGUAUUGACGCUGA